rnacentral:rRNA from 1 species
UACAGAGGUCCCAAGCGUUGUUCGGAUUCACUGGGCGUAAAGGGUGCGUAGGUGGUCAGGUAAGUCUGAUGUGAAAUCUCUGGGCUCAACCCAGAAACUGCAUUGGAUACUAUCUGGCUAGAGGAGUGGAGGGGGGACUGGAAUACUUGGUGUAGCAGUGAAAUGCGUAGAUAUCAAGUGGAACACCAGUGGCGGAGGCGGAUCUCUGGUCUGUAACUGACACUGAGGCGCGAAAGCGUGGGGAGCAAACAGG